rnacentral:rRNA from 1 species
AUGAACCCUUGUGCAAUCACGACACUCAUUGAUCGAUAGCGGCCUGAGACACAUACUUUCCACUUAUUUGCUGGAGAGAUGACGAUUACUUUGCAGGAUGUUCCACUGAUCACUGGACUCCCCAUCAAAGGAGAGCCUAUUUGUUUUAGCACAUAUUUCGAGGGAUGGCGUGAAAUUAUGGUGGGACUCAUCUGGAGGAACCCGGGGCCUCACGCCUCCAUGACUCACGUGAGCAGAUAG